CUCGUCUGUGGUGGUACGGAAGGCACGGACUCUGCAAGCGUCCCGCACCCUAUGAGAAAGAAACUCCUCAACCAUCACAAGAUAAAGAAGUAUGACGCUCUGUGUCUGACUCUAUUGGUCAUAGUUGCCAGCACGUAG
rnacentral:rRNA from 1 species